CCCGGGCUCACGUGUCCCCCCACGUGCGCCCAGCCCUCCCCAUACGGGCACUUUAGGGGCUGGCCGCCAUUUUGUGAGGUUCCUGGAAGGCAGACGUCCUCGCGGCCACGUCAGGGUUGAGGAAGGUGAGCCUUGCACCGUGGGGGUACCACCACAGCCCAGAGGGGAGCACAAGUGCUUGCUGGAGGAGGAGCCCAUUUUCCAUCGUGAAUCCUGCAGUAGUCUCUUCCCUUAAAGACCUUGGACCCGGAGAUCCCAGGGAAGCUCCUCAACUAGCCAUUCAUCAAGGUGAGAAUCGGGCCCCUGUCCUGUGCUCGCCCAAAUGAACCACACUGAAUUGAGGUAGCUCUUUCAGUCCCCCUUCUCCCACUCCCACCUCCAGUCAGGUGUCAGGAGGUGUGAGGUGACCUCACUGCCUUCCUGUUCUGAGGCUUGCCCUCAGGCAAGAAGAGGCAUACACCCUGGGAGCAGGGUCUCUUCUUCUUUGAGCCUCUCAGAGGAACGUGCAGUACCAGAGUCCUUUAGCCUCGGAGCCCCCCCUCCCCCCACCCAAAUCCUCCCACAGGCGCUUUUUGAGAGCCACCUGAGGAAUGGCUGUCAGAGUCUACUCACCCUCUCCCUUUCUG
rnacentral:lncRNA from 1 species